rnacentral:rRNA from 1 species
GUGGGGAAUAUUGGACAAUGGGCGGAAGCCUGAUCCAGCCAUGCCGCGUGUGUGAAGAAGGCCUUUUGGUUGUAAAGCACUUUAAGCGAGGAGGAGGCUACCGAGAUUAAUACUCUUGGAUAGUGGACGUUACUCGCAGAAUAAGCACCGGCUAACUCUGUGCCAGCAGCCGCGGUAAUACAGAGGGUGCGAGCGUUAAUCGGAUUUACUGGGCGUAAAGCGCGCGUAGGUGGUUAAUUAAGUCAAAUGUGAAAUCCCCGAGCUUAACUUGGGAAUUGCAUUCGAUACUGGAUGGCUAGAGUAUGGGAGAGGAUGGUAGAAUUCCAGGUGUAGCGGUGAAAUGCGUAGAGAUCUGGAGGAAUACCGAUGGCGAAGGCAGCCAUCUGGCCUAAUACUGACACUGAGGUGCGAAAGCAUGGGGAGCAAACAGGAUUAGAUACCCUGGUAGUCC